GGAAGAGAUCAGGAUUUAAAUGUCACAUCCAAACCCAAAUCAAGAUGCUAUGCCUUCCCUUUGUAAUUUGGACUGAUACCAUACCCAGACAAAUGGCAGGGUAUUGGCACUUGAACUGAAAACUUUCUGGAAGACAAGCAUCCCUUCUGAGUACUUCAGAUAGAAAGUAGCAACAAUACUUGACAGAUCUGAUUGCCAAAAGUGACCAAUUUUUCUUUACAUAUGGAGACCAAUAAGAAGGUGUGCACGUGUGUGUGGAGGGAGAACUCAUUGUAAGGAAUUGUCUCAUGCAGUCGUGGAAGUUGGUAAGUACAAAAGCUGCAGGGUAGACAGGCUGGCUGUAGGCCUGGCAUGAGCUGAU
rnacentral:lncRNA from 12 species